GUCUUUUUGAUAAUAAUUUAAAGUUUAAUUUGCCCACUGAAAUAAAAUUUAAAGGGCUGCAGUAUAUUGACUGUACAAAGGUAGCAUAGUCAUUAGUCUUUUAAUUGAAGACUUGUAUGAAUGAUUUGAUGAAAUAUAAGCUGUCUCUUUAUUAAUAAUAGAAUUUAAUUUUUUAGUUAAAAAGCUAAAAUUUUUAUAAAAGACGAGAAGACCCUAUAGAGUUUAAUUUUUUAAUUUUUGUAGGUAUUUUAUAAAAUUUAAAAUUUAUAAAAAUUAAAAAAUUUUGUUGGGGUGAUAGAAAAAUUUAAUAAACUUUUUUUUAAAAAUUAACAUUAAUUUAUGAAUUUUUGAUCCAUAAAUUAUGAUUAUAAGAUUAAAUUACCUUAGGGAUAACAGCGUAAUUUUUUUUUUUAGUUCAAAUAAAAAUGAAAGUUUGCGACCUCGAUGUUGGAUUAAGAUAAAAUAUAAAUGCAAAAGUUUAAAAUUUUGAUCUGUUCGAUCAUUAAAAUCUU
rnacentral:rRNA from 1 species